rnacentral:ncRNA from 2 species
AGAGGAAGUCCGGUGCGAAUCCGGCGCGGUCCCGCCACUGUCACCGGGGAGCGGACCCCCGCCCAUGGCCACGGCCCCGACUCGGGGCUGGAAGGCCGGGGGUGCCGCCGAUCCGGGAGCCAGGAGACUC